rnacentral:rRNA from 1 species
UACAGAGGUCUCGAGCGUUAGGCGGAAUCACUGGGCUUAAAGCGUGUGUAGGCGGGUCGGUAAGUACCUUGUGAAAUCCCACGGCUCAACCGUGGAACUGCUGGGUAUACUGCCGAUCUUGUGCAACCUAGGGGCGAGCGGAACAGAUGGUGGAGCGGUGAAAUGCGCAGAUAUCAGGAGGAACACCGGCGGCGAAGGCGGCACUCUGGGCCGGUACUGACGCUGAGGAGCGAAAGCGUGGGUAGCAAACAGG